rnacentral:rRNA from 1 species
AACGAACGCUGGCGGCAGGCUUAACACAUGCAAGUCGAACGCAUCGCAAGAUGAGUGGCAGACGGGUGAGUAACGCGUGGGAACAUACCCUUUUCUACGGAAUAGCUCUGGGAAACUGGAAUUAAUACCGUAUACGCCCUACGGGGGAAAGAUUGAUCGGGGAAGGAUUGGCCCGCGUUGGAUUAGCUAGUUGGUGGGGUAAAGGCCUACCAAGGCGACGAUCCAUAGCUGGCCUGAGAGGAUGAUCAGCCAAAUUGGGACUGAGACACGGCCCAAACUCCUACGGGAGGCAGCAGUGGGGAAUAUUGGACAAUGGGCGCAAGCCUGAUCCAGCCAUGCCGCGUGAGUGAUGAAGGCCUUAGGGUUGUAGAGCUCUUUCACCGAUGAAGAUAAUGACGGUAGUCGGAGAAGAAGCCCCGGCUAACUUCGUGCCAGCAGCCGCCGUAACAC